rnacentral:rRNA from 1 species
UGAAGAACGCAGCGAAACGCGAUAUGUAAUGUGAAUUGCAGAAUUCAGUGAAUCAUCGAAUCUUUGAACGCACAUGGCGCCUUCCAGUAUCCUGGGAGGCAUGCCUGUCCGAGCGUCGUUUCAACCCUCGAGCCCCUGUGGCCCGGCGUUGGGGAUCUGCCACGG